rnacentral:rRNA from 2 species
CAACAGGGAUUGCCCUAGUAACGGCGAGUGAAGCGGCAACAGCUCAAAUUUGAAAUCUGGCCCUAGCGGUCCGAGUUGUAAUUUGUAGAGGAUGCUUUUGGUGAGGUGCCUUCCGAGUUCCCUGGAACGGGACGCCGGAGAGGGUGAGAGCCCCGUACGGUUGGACGCCAAACCUCUGUAUAGCUCCUUCGACGAGUCGAGUAGUUUGGGAAUGCUGCUCUAAAUGGGAGGUAAAUUUCUUCUAAAGCUAAAUACCGGCCAGAGACCGAUAGCGCACAAGUAGAGUGAUCGAAAGAUGAAAAGCACUUUGAAAAGAGGGUUAAAUAGCACGUGAAAUUGUUGAAAGGGAAGCGUUUGCGACCAGACUUUUUCCAGGCGGAUCAUCCGGCGUUCUCGCCGGUGCACUCCGCCUGGUUGAGGCCAGCAUCGGUUUCCUUAGGGGGAUAAAGGCCUGGGGAACGUAGCUCCUUCGGGAGUGUUAUAGCCCCUGGCGUAAUACCCCUCGGGGGACCGAGGAACGCGCUCUGCAAGGAUGCUGGCGUAAUGGUCGUCAACGACCCGUCUUGAAACACGGACCAAGGAGUCGAACAUUUGUGCGAGUGUUUGGGUGUCAAACCCUCACGCGUAAUGAAAGUGAACGGAGGUGAGAGCCCUUACGGGUGCAUCAUCGACCGAUCCUG